UCAGCGGCCAUAUUGACAACUGGCAAAGUACUGCUUGAAUCCCUGAGAAACGGAGGCGCGUGGUUUCUGCAUCCUGGUUGGAAAGACCCGAGGAUGAGAAAAGUGUCCACGUCGCAGAAAGGAAGGAUUUCCGCCGGUUUGACUUAACAGUUGGCGGGAGCCGUUCCAAAGUCUUCCCAGAAAGUCUGCUGCGGUGGCAUCCACAAUGGUGUCAGAAGCGGGAUCCGAGGUAGAGCUUCUAAUGAGCCCUAGGAGCACUGAGUGAACAAGCAAGGUACCUGCAGGACCCACUUUUCGUCCAUUGAUCUCUCAGAGCCCCAGGGGAUCCUGGCUAUGGGUGACAGGAUAAGGCAUGUACAGGACCAUGGGACAUGGUAGCUUUUUCCUCCCCAAAAGGGGAAAUUUGAGAGCUUAUGGGACUGCUGGAAAAGAUCCCUUUGCUACCAACAAGUGACUGCUUGAACUUUUCAGUGUUGCUGAAGUGGGUGGGUCUUUAUCUGGCCUCCCUGAGCACUUCACCUUCCCUACCCUGCCACAGGCAAUACUUUUUUUCUCUUCUUUCCCUUUCCUAUCUUUUCUGUUACUCAGGGCAGCCAUCUUGCCCAGAGACCACGUGUUGAAAUUCCUAGCGGGAGGUUGGACUAAAAGAUGACAGGGCCCAUCUGAGGGCAAAUUUAAGCCUUGCUAGUUGAUAUUGGAUGUUAAGCAGAAUGGCUAAUGUCUAUGUUUCAUCACACAUACUUUACUCUGGGCAGAGCAAAAAGAAGAUAAUUUUCCUUUAUGAUGCUGAGUUGGCAUCCUAAAGGUUGAUGGUGCAGCAAGGUGAAUCCCUAGGGCUGCUUAGGGAAAGCUGGGUUAAUAGGGCUGCUUUGAGAAGCCUGGCAUGCUGGCAAAAGUGUUAGAGUUCCUUAGCAGUCAGCCUUCUGGCUUUUCUCCCUCUUUCUCUGUGCAAACUGGUUAAACAAAUGGUAAAAAUUAAUGCUUCUCUCCUCUGUAAAGUUUUGAUUAAUAGAAAAAAGAAUUCUGAAGUUGGUCUUAAGCUGUAGUGAAUCUGAUGUGCUUUGUGUGUUUUCCUGUGUUGUUCUGCCAUAAAGAGCAGUUGUCUUAGGAUAAAAUGCAUGCCUAAAACCUCAUAAGCCUGAUGUUUAAGAUGGCCCAGAAAAAUGGUCAGUUAUAUCCUUGGGAGAUUGACCUUGUAACCAUGUGGCCAUGCUUUCUCUUUUCACAAUGGCGGCCUGAGUUCAGGGUUCAAUCCCUAGCUUAAGGGAUGAGCCUUUCUGGUUGAUAUUUGGGUGAACUUUUCCAUUUUUUGAUUCUCUUCCCCUCCGUGAACUGUCUUAAGUUUUCCUUUCUCAAAGCACCUGUGAGGUUACUUUUGGUAAAGUUUAAAAGCCAGAAAUAUCAGCUGUUUGGCCUGGCUAAAGUUGAGCAAUGAGAAAUUUUAAAAGGACUUUAUUAAAGAGUGCUAAAGUUAAAAGCUUAAUUAAAACUGAAUAUUCAAGCUCUAACAUCCUGGGACUCCUUGGGAAGAACAGAAGUCACCAGAGACCUCUUACUGGUCCUGUUUUUUCAAGGACUCCACCCUAAAGCCUGUAAUCCAGUUAAGAAACUUUAAAACUGACAAAUGAAAAGCCUUACAACUACUAUAGUAAUCUUCUUCUGU